GUCACCGGAUUUUGAAUUCUUGUUUGAAGGUUUUCUAUCGCAAAAGAGUCCAAGCAAGCUGGACCUUCAUAGCUUGAUGCCUUCAGUUUGCUGGCCUGGUUCAUGUGAGGAUAUUUCCUAUGGAUCUAGCAUGUUGUUGACAACUACAGCUUUAUCUGAAGCAGUCAGCAAGAUUGAGGAGAAGCAUAGGGACCUUUGUCUUUUGGUCAUACAGUUUAUACCACCCACAACACCUUCCCAGUUACCUGGUUCAGUGUUUAGGACAUUUUUACAGAGUCUUUUGUUGA
rnacentral:misc_RNA from 1 species